rnacentral:lncRNA from 1 species
UCAAAUGUAUUUCCGUUUAACUCGUACCCUUGGAAAUGUAAUACAGUCGAAGAAGGUGACGAGUCCAACAAGUAGAGAUGAUCUCUAACAGUGUUGUCAUUCAUGAGACGUGCUCGCAACCAACUGCCGAAAGUAUCCAUGUGUUUUUCUUCAAUCCAGGAGAUAGCCUUCCCCAUGGACUCGUACCGUACAAAAUUCUUGUGCUCCUCGAUAUACGAAGCCACGAAGGUGGAACUUUUUAGAACUGUGUAGUGUGCUUGAGUGAAAGAAUGCACAUCCCUACAUAUCACAACUUACUUUCCUAGUGUGC